CAUAGAAUAGGGAAAUAUUUUUUUUCUGUUUACCUUAAUAAUCAUACAAUACAGCAUAGACUAGGGAAAUAUUUUUUUAUGCAGUAUAGGGCAGAGAAACGCACACCAAAGAUUUCCAAAGAUUACCCGUCAAGAGCGUAAUGGAUUUUUCACCCCUCAUCGUGCGUAAUAGAUUUCAUGAUUUUUGGGAAGGAAAUAUGGGGUAAUGAAUGUCAUAUUUCCUUGUAAUCUAUUGUCACGUAAUAGAUUUUCAGGUAUCCAAACCGCCCCUUCUGGGGCAACCACCCUUAUUCAACCAGAGACUUUCUAGUGGACAUCCGACUCAGAAAGACAAGAGAGUACCUGUUCUGAUACGACAAGAGAGGACCUCUUCUGAUGCGAGCGAGCCCCAGAAGGCUCGGGAGUCUUGGGCCAUCUAGUCUGGUUUGCUGUAGCAGGAGAGCGGCAACAGUUCCCCAUUGAGGGCCACUACCUCCUCCCCUAAGAACCAGAGAAACAAAGAUUUAAGCAUCAACAAUCGAGCUUCGACUGAAAGCCCUGCCCCUAACCAAACUUAGAAACUCGAACCUGGUGCUCCUGAAACGGUUAAACCCAUGCAAAACCCUAGAAUUUCAGACGCAGAUUCAAGGUUCCCUGCCACUUCAAAUCCCGUCCAAAACCAUAAACGUAGGGACUCGUGUCGACGUUUAGAGAGACAGAGGGGGAGAGAGUUCAGAGAAUGAGAGAUGGCGUAUGGAGUUUGAUUUUGAAGCUACGGGUGCAUCCGUACGCCAACUGCACCAUACAUGAAAGAUAUGUAGAGAACAAAAUGUGUGCGUGAGAGAGAGAUCUGGUUUAGACAAGUUGGGUCGUCUAUGCGGUGAGGUGGUCCACCUGAGCCAGUGGAGCAAUGCAGCCACAUUUAUAUCUCGUACCACUGAAAUUGAGGUACGAAUGAAGAA